rnacentral:other from 1 species
CUUGCGCUGCCCGGCGCGUUUGGGCGAACUUCCCCGGGGCCGUAUCUCACAGAACGGGAGCUGCCUCUGGAGGGAAGCCUUGCUUCCCAUCACGCGGCGCCCACCUGGUCCUUAGGGUCCAGGGCGAACGUCUCGUCCGACGGCCAGGGCGGCGCUUUU